ACACACAGACAGUCACACACUCACAGUUCCGCUCGCUUCGCUCUUUCGCUGUAGCCAAGAACUCGUUCUCGUCCUCGUCCCGUUCCAAAGAUCCAGCAGCAAUGAAGGGCAUGGGCGCGACGGAGACGGCGCCGGCGGGCAAGGCGGCUCCGGCCUCGCACAUGCCGAUGCCGAUGACACGCGUCCUUCUCCUGGGGCGACCGCCCGGUGGUGCUGUUCGCGGGGUGGCCCGGCGCGCGCGGCGCGGGCGCGUACCUGCUCUGCCUCCUCCUCGUGCUGGCGCUCGCCGCGCUCACCGAGGCGCUCGCCGCCGCCUCGCGCUGCGUCGCGCGCCGCGGCGCGGGGGCAGAGGCGGGACGCCGCGUCCCGGCGUCCUCGGCCGCGCUACUCGCGGCGGCGCACGCAGCCAGGAUGGGCACGGCGUACCUCGUCAUGCUGGCCGUCAUGUCCUUCAACGGCGGCGUGCUGCUCGCCGCCGUCGCCGGCCACUCGCUCGGCUUCCUCCUCGCGCGAAGCAGGGUCGUGCACCCUGGCGGCGGAGGUGCCGCCGCAGCCGCUGGCCGUGACCACGGGCUCGGCGGUGGUGUCGUGGGCGUCCAUCCUCCGGAUGGCUCCAAGGCCUAAGGCUGCAGCAGGGCAAAUGCGCUCGGGUUAAACAAAUGACUGACUGUCUGUCUCGUGCUUGUCUGUUGUUGUAGUUGUCUGAACACAUUCAGGAUACUUUUUCCAUGGUUCUCAAACCCCGAUGUCAUCUCCCUGUCUAUCGUGCUAUGGGUUAUUAGUGUAUGCUGUAAAGACGGUAUAAUGUGCUAAGUUUCCACGUGAAUUGAUUAUAACGUUGUAUUUGUAUCCAAGAACAAAGAGUUUCUCCCUUUUGCGAUA